GGACGGCGUCCCCGGGGUUAAGGUCUAGCGGAUGAACAGGCUGGGACUCCAGGAGCAGGAAUGCCCAAACAUGGAGAAGGGGGAGAAGGCUGGACACGGAUCUCAGCUUCAGAGAAGCCGAGGAAAGGAGGCAGGCUUUCCAGGACGCUGCUGCCAACAGGGCCCUUUAAGGGUAAGAAGCCUUAACAGAAGAACUAAGAGCAGGAGGGAUCCUGGACAAGCCUCAAUCGUGCUGUUCACUGACGUGUCCCGUUAAGAGAAUGGGACUGGAGACCCUGAGCAGCGCUGUUUGGCUCUGCUCUUACCCGCAGAGCGGUGGGCUGAAAGCAUAGGACUGGGGUCCCCUCCGGAUCAUCCUGGCCUGUCCCCCACUGCAAACACUGGCCACGGCCACCACGAUGGAACUGAGAUAAACCCUUUUAUUUUAGUUA